AAAACCAGAAAGGUGAGGCUGCCAUGGUCUGCCCUUUUGGGGCACCUCUGGAAGAGGGUACCUCUUCACCGAAUGUCUUCCUUUGUGUGUUCUCACAGGAUGGCAAUCCCAGGUCUGGAUUAAUGCCUGUGUCUGCUGAAAAACAGUGGGACAGACAGUGCUGGUCCAUGGCUGCCUUCAAAAUGCUACUAAAUUUCUGUCUGCCAUAAAGUGGAGAGAAAAAGAGUGCAAAACUAAAACGGGAAGUUUCCUCAUCUAGAAAACAACGAUGAUGAUGAUGUCAGUGAUAACCUAUUUUGUACGUUCUCAUAAAUGUUUUUUAGGGUUUGAAGCAACAUGGAUCUCUCAAAUGUGAGCACCAAGACUGAAAACCACUAAGGAUAAUGAGAAGCUGUCUUUGUGCACACAUUUUGGUCUCCUCCCAUCCAUGCUGGAAAUAGCCACUUCAAUAUCAUCAGAAGGGUAUAAUGCUGGGAGACACUCUCUGGCCUCAUGGAGUUCCCUGUCCAGUUGGAUGGACACAAAGGCAAGAAGACACAGGGAGCGUGACAGCAGCUAUGAGAGGUGUUGGAGCCUGCGGCUGGGGUGGGCGCGGUGCCGGAAGGCUUCCUGAAGGGAAGGGCUUCUCCACCAGAUCCUAAAAACCAACUGGAACAGACUUUUUCCUCCUGCUAUUGGGCAUCAGAAGCCCAAGUUCUCUGGCCUUUGGACUCCAAGACCUGCAACAGUGCCAUGGUUUCCCUCCUGGCCCCAGUGGAUUUCAGUGCUGACUGAAAGUUACACCAUCAGCUUCCUUGAUUCUGAGGCCUUUGGGCAUGGACUGAGUCACCCUGCCAGCUACCCCGGUUCUCCAUAAUCAUGUUAGACAG
rnacentral:lncRNA from 1 species